rnacentral:misc_RNA from 1 species
CAUCAAACCACAUAACUGCAUAAGUAAUAUUUUUUGUUCUGCUGAUUUCUAAUCAAGACAGCAUUGAAGUCACCUUAUAAUACAGACACUUUAAAGGAAACAAAAACAGAAAGGUUCUUGAAAAGGAAACAUAUUAAAACAAACAAAAGCUGGAUAGUCGUUAAAUGCAUGUCCACCUUUUGUUCUUCUCUCUACACGCAGUAAAUCUCAAUAACCAAUGUUAACAACCUUCACUAUCUUGGCUUCUGAUGGAUCCGUAACAAGGAUCAGAUAUGUAACGGAGACAUAACAGCUUGUAUUUUGACUUAGCGAAAAAGGCUUUCCAGCAUUUCCUUGCAUGACUGACAGAAGACGCGCUACCCUAUUUUUCCCUGCAUGUCUCGUUGGCUGCAACUUCUUUCCAAAGAGAGGAACCGACCAACAGAUGCCAGAGACGAAAACAAAAUAAAUCGAUCAUUGUGAAAAUAAAUCUAGAAUAAUGCAGAUACAGUGUGAAGAGAACAAAACUUUGUUCUGCCUUCUCAUGCAGUGACCUCGGCAAGAGUUUGUCGAACUGCAUCUUGUGUAGGAAGGGAAGGGAUUCCACCUCUUCCUGUCACUGUCAGGGCAGCACAAACAUUGGCAAAAAAGAUAGCCUCCCUUAACCGCUUUUCAUCCUGAUAAAGACUAGCAUCAGAAGCUAGACACUUGAGAACUCCACCAGUAAAUUCGAUCAAGGUAAAAGCUGUUGAUACAACUGGUGCUGGUGAUGCAUUUACU